rnacentral:rRNA from 1 species
GGGGGGGGGGGGGGGGGGGGGGGGCGGGGGCGGGUCGGGGGGGAGGGCCCUGCUUUGGUGGGGUGCUCGGGUGGCGGACGGGUGAGUGACACGUGAGUAACCUGCCCUUGACUUUGGGAUAACUUCAGGAAGCUGGGGCGCAUACCGGAUAGGAGCUCCUGCUGCGUGGUGGGGGUUGGAAAGUUUCGGCGGUUGGGGAUGGACUCGCGGCUUAUCACCUUGUUGGUGGGGUAGGGGCUUACCAAGGCUUUGACGGGUAGCCGGCCUGAGAGGGUGACCGGCCACAUUGGGACUGAGAUACGGCCCAGACUCCUAAGGGAGGCAGCAGUGGGGAAUAUUGCAAAAUGGGCGGAAGCCUGAUGCAGCAACGCCGCGUGCGGGAUGACGGCCUUCGGGUUGUAAACCGCUUUCGCCUGUGACGAAGCGUGAGUGACGGUAAUGGGUAAAGAAGCACCGGCUAACUACGUG